AACGAACGCUGGCGGCGUGGAUUAGGCAUGCAAGUCGAACGAUCCCGCAAGGGAUAGUGGCGAAAGGGUGCGUAACACGUGGGCAAUCUGCCCCCGAAACGGGAAUAACUUCGGGAAACCGAAGCUAAUACCUGAUGACACCGAGCUGCCGCAUGGUGGCACGGUGAAAGGCGUCCGCAAGGGUGCCGAUCGGGGAUGAGCCCGCGGCCUAUCAGCUAGUUGGUGAGGUAACGGCCCACCAAGGCGAUGACGGGUAGCCGGCCUGAGAGGGUGGUCGGCCACAUUGGGACUGAGACACUGCCCAGACUCCUACGGGAGGCUGCAGUCGAGGAUCUUCCGCAAUGGGGGAAACCCUGACGGAGCGACGCCGCGUGGAGGAUGAAGGCCUUCGGGUCGUAAACUCCUGUCAGUCUGGAAGAAAGUCUGCAGCAAUGUGGAUUGACCGUACAGGCAGAGGAAGCUCCGGCUAACUCCGUGCCAGCAGCCGCGGUAACUGUAGUCGUC
rnacentral:rRNA from 1 species